AGCUGGGCCCUGCGCGGCAGAGGGUCGUGAACCCCGUCAGGUCCGGAAGGAAGCAGCGGCAACGUCAAUCUCUGGGUGACGCAGACCAGUCCAGCUACC
rnacentral:SRP_RNA from 1 species